rnacentral:piRNA from 1 species
UUGUAUUGCAUUAGGUUAAAUGUUGUAGC